rnacentral:lncRNA from 10 species
UUUUUUUUUUUUUUUUUUUGGCCCUGGGAGGCUACAGGGACUCAAGGACUUCAUCAUCAAAGUCCUGUGCCGGCUAGCUUCCAGUUGUAUUGAGUCAAUGGAGAAUCUGGCAGAUUGGAGGAAGGAGAAGGUCAUGAUCAUCUGGCAAUUAAAGAAAUGGCCAGACUGCCUCCCACUCUGAGGACCCUUGGCUACCUGACACGUAAUUCCAGAGACCACAGUAGUCAGUGCUGGCAAGAUUCCAGAGCCCAGAAGAAGGAGCAAUCUUUUGAAAAUCUCCUUGGAAGGCACACUCAAUUCAAAGAUGACCAUGGGAAUGAUUGACCUAGCUUCCAAGAGAUUCAUUUGAUGUUUAGUUACAGGAUAUCCAUCGAUGACAACACCUGCAGUAUUGCACACACUUUCCAUCAGAGAAAGUUCUAAGGCUUGAAUAGCCAGUUCAUCAGGUGCUGUCAUUCCUUUAUGAAGAUGCCAAUUUAACAUAAGUGCCAGCUCUG